rnacentral:rRNA from 1 species
AACGAACGCUGGCGGCAUGCCUAACACAUGCAAGUCGAACGAGACCUUCGGGUCUAGUGGCGCACGGGUGCGUAACGCGUGGGAAUCUGCCCUUGGUUCGGAAUAACAGCGAGAAAUUGCUGCUAAUACCGGAUGAUGACGUAAGUCCAAAGAUUUAUCGCCCAAGGAUGAGCCCGCGUAGGAUUAGCUAGUUGGUGAGGUAAAGGCUCACCAAGGCGACGAUCCUUAGCUGGUCUGAGAGGAUGAUCAGCCACACUGGGACUGAGACACGGCCCAGACUCCUACGGGAGGCAGCAGUGGGGAAUAUUGGACAAUGGGCGAAAGCCUGAUCCAGCAAUGCCGCGUGAGUGAUGAAGGCCUUAGGGUUGUAAAGCUCUUUUACCCGGGAUGAUAAUGACAGUACCGGGAGAAUAAGCUCCGGCUAACUCCGUGCCAGCAGCCGCGGUAAU